CAUGAAGACGGUUCUCAUUCUCGUAGUAGGAAGGCGCAUGGGCAAGGCGGUGUAACCGCCGGGCGAGAGCACCCCAUGCGCCAGACAGGCUCCCUUCCGGGGGCCUUUUUUAUUGCCUUCG
rnacentral:sRNA from 1 species